GAUGAAGAACGCAGCGAAAUGCGAUACUUGGUGUGAAUUGCAGAAUCCAGUGAACCAUCGAGUCUUUGAACGCAAGUUGCGCCCGAAGCCAUUAGGCCGAGGGCACGCCUGCCUGGGCGUCACACGUCGUUGCCCCCCCAUCUACUCCUUCGGGAUUGCGGGGGGCGGAUGAUGGCCUCUCGUGCGCCUCGUCGCGCGGUUGGCCUAAAUGCCAAGUCCUCGGCGACGCACGCCACGACAAUCGGUGGUUGCGAAACCUCGGUUGCCUGUCGUGUGCGGUCGUCGCGCAUCGAGGGCUCGAAAAAAUUGCCGGGCUUCGGCUCGACUUUCAACGCGACCCCAGGUCAGGCGGGGUUACCCGCUGAAUUUAAGCAUAUCAAUAAGCGGAGGA
rnacentral:misc_RNA from 1 species